rnacentral:lncRNA from 1 species
AAUAUUAAUUAGUCAACCAUACCAUGGAACUAAUGAUAUUGUCCUCAAAUGAAUUCGCGAGCUGCUAUUUUCAAAUAGUUCGCAGUCUUACUUUGGAGUUUUUAGAUUAUUCUAUUCCCAAAAAAUUUGACUUUUUAAUAUUAAUUUGUAAACUAAAAUUAUUAGGCGCUAGAUUAGAGCCAGUAAAAUAAUUAAACAAACUGAGUACCUGAUUAGGGUAAGAUGUCAAAUUGUUCUUAUAUCAGAUUUGAAUCUAACAACACAAUAAUACUAAUACGGACAUUAUAUUUAACCAAUAAGUCCUUUUCUUUAGUCAAAGUUCUUUCUGGUGAGUCAUUUUACGAGAUCCAACGACUCUGGGAUUUUAAACCAAGAAGUAGAGUAAGCAUAAGUAACAAAGUAGAGUCUCGAAUGAAUGUAAAAUUUAUAAAUAUAACAAUCUAUUAGAAGAAAGAAAGUUUCGGAAAUGGCCAUAUAUAUAUAUGGAGGUAUUUUCAGGGAAAUUUUAACCAACGAUAAAUAAUGUAUAAUGACGUACUUCAUAGAAUCAUUAAUUAUAUAAAGACAUAUCUUUCAUAGUAAAUAGAUUCGAUCCAAAAAUGCAAUUAAGAAGAAGAAAAAACUCAGGUAGAUGAGUUAUUUUCUUUCUUUUCUUGGUUUUGCAUGCUAAUUAGGUCAAAACUAUUUGAAACUUAACCGUAAGAAAGAGAGAGUUCGUAUACCUGUAUUAAUGUUGGCUUGAGAUGAAAGCUUGGGGAGUCUUUAAGCCAGAAAGGUUACCGAUGAAUCAUGAGGACGGUUGAUUUAUAAAACAGCCUGACCGAAAGAGGAAUGAAGCUACCCAAGGAUGAAUCCAAAGAGAUGGCAUGAUCCAAAACCAAGCAAUUUUUUUGUGAUUUGUUUGCUAAUUAUUAAGAAAACAAAUGAAUGGAGAAUUCACCUCUUAGUUUAGGAUCAAUGCGAUCCCUUUGGAUCCUUCCUCUAGUUGCUAUGAAUGAUUCGUUCUCUUUCUCUCUCUCUCUCCCUCUCUCCCUCUCUCUAAAAGCUGAGAGCAAUGUGGUUUUUGUCAAUGGACCAGGUUCCUCUUGGUUUUAAAUACAAUAAUCA